GAUUAUGGCUCAGAUUGAACGCUGGCGGCAUGCUUUACACAUGCAAGUCGAACGGCAGCAUAGAGAGCUUGCUCUCUGAUGGCGAGUGGCGAACGGGUGAGUAAUACAUCGGAACGUGUCCGUUUGUGGGGGACAACCAUCCGAAAGGAUGGCUAAUACCGCAUAAGACCUGAGGGUGAAAGCCGGGGACCGCAAGGCCUGGCGCGAACGGAGCGGCCGAUGACUGAUUAG
rnacentral:rRNA from 1 species